CGCGUAUCCAACCUGCCCAUCACUUGGGGAUAACCUUGCGAAAGUAAGACUAAUACCCAAUGACGUCUCUAGAAGACAUCUGAAGGAGAUUAAAGAUUUAUCGGUGAUGGAUGGGGAUGCGUCUGAUUAGCUUGUUGGCGGGGUAACGGCCCACCAAGGCUACGAUCAGUAGGGGUUCUGAGAGGAAGGUCCCCCACAUUUGGAACUGAGACACGGUCCAA
rnacentral:rRNA from 1 species